UACGAAGGGGGCUAGCGUUGCUCGGAAUCACUGGGCGUAAAGGGUGCGUAGGCGGGUCUUUAAGUCAGGGGUGAAAUCCUGGAGCUCAACUCCAGAACUGCCUUUGAUACUGAGGAUCUUGAGUCCGGGAGAGGUGAGUGGAACUGCGAGUGUAGAGGUGAAAUUCGUAGAUAUUCGCAAGAACACCAGUGGCGAAGGCGGCUCACUGGCCCGGUACUGACGCUGAGGCACGAAAGCGUGGGGAGCAAACGGG
rnacentral:rRNA from 1 species